GCGUGCCUAAUACAUGCAAGUCGAGCGAACGGACGAGAAGCUUGCUUUUCUGAUGUUAGCGGCGGACGGGUGAGUAACACGUGGAUAACCUACCUAUAAGACUGGGAUAACUUCGGGAAACCGGAGCUAAUACCGGAUAAUAUUUUGAACCGCAUGGUUCACAAGGGAAAGACGGUCUUGCUGUCACUUAUAGAUGGAUCCGCGCUGCAUUAGCUAGAUUGGUAAGGUAACGGCUUACCAAGGCAACGAUGCAUAGCCGACCUGAGAGGGUGAUCGGCCACACUGGAACUGAGACACGGUCCAGACUCCUACGGGAAGCAGCAGUAGGGAAUCUUCCGCGAUGGGCGAAAGCCUGACGGAGCAACGCCGCGUGAGUGAUGAAGGUCUUCGGAUCGUAAAACUCUGUUAUUAGGGAAGAACAUAUGUGUAAGUAACUGUGCACAUCUUGACGGUACCUAAUCAGAAAGCCACGGCUAACUACGUGCCAGCAGCCGCGGUAAUACGUAGGUGGCAAGCGUUAUCCGGAAUUAUUGGGCGUAAAGCGCGCGUAGGCGGUUUUUUAAGUCUGAUGUGAAAGCCCACGGCUCAACCGUGGAGGGUCAUUGGAAACUGGAAAACUUGAGUGCAGAAGAGGAGAGUGGAAUUCCAUGUGUAGCGGUGAAAUGCGCAGAGAUAUGGAGGAACACCAGUGGCGAAGGCGACUUUCNUGGUCUGUAACUGACGCUGAUGUGCGAAAGCGUGGGGAUCAAACAGGAUUA
rnacentral:rRNA from 1 species